rnacentral:rRNA from 1 species
CACUCCUACGGGAGGCAGCAGUGGGGAAUAUUGCACAAUGGGCGCAAGCCUGAUGCAGCCAUGCCGCGUGUAUGAAGAAGGCCUUCGGGUUGUAAAGUACUUUCAGCGGGGAGGAAGGCGAUAAGGUUAAUAACCUUGUUGAUUGACGUUACCCGCAGAAGAAGCACCGGCUAACUCCGUGCAAGCAGCCGCGGUAAUACGGAGGGUGCAAGCGUUAAUCGGAAUUACUGGGCGUAAAGCGCACGCAGGCGGUCUGUCAAGUCGGAUGUGAAAUCCCCGGGCUCAACCUGGGAACUGCAUUCGAAACUGGCAGGCUAGAGUCUUGUAGAGGGGGGUAGAAUUCCAGGUGUAGCGGUGAAAUGCGUAGAGAUCUGGAGGAAUACCGGUGGCGAAGGCGGCCCCCUGGACAAAGACUGACGCUCAGGUGCGAAAGCGUGGGGAGCAAACAGGAUUAGAUACCCCAGUAGUCCCAUGAU